CUGAUCUCAAAUCAGGUAGGACUACCCGCUGAACUUAAGCAUAUCAAUAAGCGGAGGAAAAGAAACUAACAAGGAUUCCCCUAGUAACUGCGAGUGAAGCGGGAAAAGCUCAAAUUUAAAAUCUGGCAGUCUUUGGUUGCCCGAGUUGUAUUCUAGAGAAGUGUUUUCCGUGCCGGACCGUGUACAAGUCUCUUGGAACAGAGCGUCAUGGAGGGUGAGAAUCCCGUCUUUGACACGGACUACCGGUGCUUUGUGAUGCGCUCUCAAAGAGUCGAGUUGUUUGGGAAUGCAGCUCAAAAUGGGUGGUAAAUUCCAUCUAAAGCUAAAUAUUGGCGAGAGACCGAUAGCGAACAAGUACCGUGAGGGAAAGAUGAAAAGCACUUUGGAAAGAGAGUUAAACAGUACGUGAAAUUGCUGAAAGGGAAACGCUUGAAGUCAGUCGCGUUGGUCAGAAUUCAGCCUUGCUUCCGCUUGGUGUACUUUCUGGUUAACGGGCCAGCAUCAGUUUUGACUGCAGGAUAAAAGUCAGAGGAAUGUGGCACCUUCGGGUGUGUUAUAACCUUUGGCUGCAUACUGCGGCUGGGACUGAGGAACUCAGCACGUGUAAACUGUGCUUAGGAUGCUGGCGUAAUGGCUUUAAACGACCCGUCUUGAAACACGGACCAAGGAGUCUAACAUGCCUGCGAGUAUUUGGGUGGCAAACCCGAGUGCGCAAUGAAAGUGAAAGUUGGGAUCUCUGUCGUGGAGAGCACCGACGCCCGGACCAGACCUUUUGUGACGGCUCCGCGGUAGAGCAUGUAUGUUGGGACCCGAAAGAUGGUGAACUAUGCCUGAAUAGGGUGAAGCCWGAGGAAACUCUGGUGGAGGCUCGUAGCGAUUCUGACGUGCAAAUCGAUCGUCAAAUUUGGGUAUAGGGGCGAAAGACUAAUCGAACCAUCUAGUAGCUGGUUCCUGC
rnacentral:rRNA from 1 species